UGGGGAAUAUUGCACAAUGGGCGCAAGCCUGAUGCAGCCAUGCCGCGUGUGUGAAGAAGGCCUUCGGGUUGUAAAGCACUUUCAGCGAGGAGGAAGGUGGUGAGCUUAAUACGCUCAUCAAUUGACGUUACUCGCAGAAGAAGCACCGGCUAACUCCGUGCCAGCAGCCGCGGUAAUACGGAGGGUGCAAGCGUUAAUCGGAAUUACUGGGCGUAAAAGCGCACGCAGGCGGUUUGUUAAGUCAGAUGUGAAAAUCCCGCC
rnacentral:rRNA from 1 species